rnacentral:rRNA from 1 species
GAAUGCUGACAUAAGUAACGAUAAAGCGGGUGAAAAGCCCGCUCGCCGGAAGACCAAGGGUUCCUGUCCAACGUUAAUCGGGGCAGGGUGAGUCGACCCCUAAGGCGAGGCCGAAAGGCGUAGUCGAUGGGAAACGGGUUAAUAUUCCCGUACUUGGUGUUACUGCGAAGGGGGGACGGAGAAGGCUAUGUUGGCCGGGCGACGGUUGUCCCGGUUUAAGCGUGUAGGUGUGUGUUCCAGGUAAAUCCGGUUCACUUUAACACUGAGGCGUGACGACGAGGCACUACGGUGCUGAAGCAACAAAUGCCCUGCUUCCAGGAAAAGCCUCUAAGCAUCAGGUAACAUCAAAUCGUACCCCAAACCGACACAGGUGGUCAGGUAGAGAAUACCAAGGCGCUUGAGAGAACUCGGGUGAAGGAACUAGGCAAAAUGGUGCCGUAACUUCGGGAGAAGGCACGCUGACACGUAGGUGAAGUGAUUUACUCAUGGAGCUGAAGU